UCUUCCACAUUUUAGGUUAAAGACUUAUUCUAAAAUAGAUUCAAUUGUUUUUUUUCUGAAACAAUCUACACACAAUACCCCAUAAUGACCAAGAUUUCUUUUUUUUUCUUUUUUUUUGCAAAUGUAUGAAAUAUAAAAAACUGAAAUAUUACAUUUACAUUAUGUAGCAGGCUGAAGCGGGUAGGGUUUCCACGUCACCAAGUUCAAUAACCAAACACGCACAGGGAGCACAACUAGAAUUCAAAUGGUGAAUUUAUUAGGGAUAUUUGCACACGGUGGGAAAGGGGGGUUCCAGCAACCAGUUCACAACGGGUAAUCAUACAGAUACUUCUCCCACUUCUCACACUCUCCAUAACCCGUGUUUCCCUCUCGGUCCUAUUCCUCUUUGUGCAGCCCGCUUCCUCUUUUAUCCUCAAGCACUCAAUGGCUUAAUGAAUCACCGGCUUGCCUUGUUGGUGCAGGAUGUCCAUAUAAGGCUCAGGGGUGGAGCCAGCAGGCUACAAGAUAUCUUCCUUCAAUCACCACUCCCCUUACCCUCACCUCUCCCUGCCAUCUGCCCCCCCUCAGCUCCGACCGGGAGGGAGGGGCGGUCCGGCUCCCUUAAACAUCCCUCCUAGAGAGUACAUCGGCAUUUCCAUGGGCUGCACCUGAUCUGUGGAUGACAGAGACAGCAAAUGGAUAUAAGGAUAGGAACCAGCGGGUGACCUGGGUGUUACUGUCCUUAUUCCGUGACAUCCAAACCAGUGGUGUCACAAGGGUGAAGUGCCGUCCCAGUCGCAGUUGCAGGUCUCGACCCCGCCCUGUGCAACUGGGUACUGGACUUCCUGACGGGCCGCCCCCAGGUGGUUAGGGUAGGCAACAACAUCUCCUCCCCGCUGAUCCUCAACACUGGGGACCAAGGGUGCGUUCUGAGCCCUCUCCUGUACUCCCUGUUCACCCAUGACUGCGUGGCCACGCACGCCUCCAACUCAAUCAUCAAGUUUGCGGACGACACAACAGUGGUAGGCUUGAUUACCAACAACGACGAGACGGUCUACAGGGAGGAGGUGAGGGCCCUCGGAGUGUGGUGUCAGGAAAAUAACCUCACACUCAACGUCAACAAAACUAAGGAGAUGAUUGUGGACUUCAGGAAACAGCAGAGGGAACACCCCCUAUCCACAUCGAUGGAACAGUAGUGGAGAGGGUAGCAAGUUUUAAGUUCCUCGGCAUACACAUCACAGACAAACUGAAUUGGUCCACUCACACAGACAGCAUCGUGAAGAAGGCGCAGCAGCGCCUCUUCAACCUCAGGAGGCUGAAGAAAUUCGGCUUGUCACCAAAAGCACUCACAAACUUCUACAGAUGCACAAUCGAGAGCAUCCUGGCGGGCUGUAUCACCGCCUGGUACGGCAACUGCUCCGCCCUCAACCGUAAGGCUCUCCAGAGGGUAGUGAGGUCGGCACAACGCAUCACCGGGGGCAAACUACCUGCCCUCCAGGACACCUACACCACCCGAUGUUACAGGAAGGCCAUAAAGAUCAUCAAGGACAUCAACCACCCGAGCCACUGCCUGUUCACCCACGCUAUCAUCCAGAAGGCGAGGUCAGUACAGGUGCAUCAAAGCUGGGACCGAGAGACUGAAAAACAGCUUCUAUCUCAAGGCCAUCAGACUGUUAAACAGCCACCACUAACAUUGAGUGGCUGCUGCCAACACACUGACACUGACACUGACUCAACUCCAGCCACUUUAAUAAUGGGAAUUGAUGGGAAAUGAUGUAAAUAUAUCACUAGUCACUUUAAACAAUGCUACCUUAUAUAAUGUUACUUACCCUACAUUAUUCAUCUCAUAUGCAUACGUAUAUACUGUACGACUGGCAUCCUUAUGUAAUACAUGUAUCACUAGCCACUUUAACUAUGCCACUUUGUUUACAUACUCAUCUCAUAUGUAUACUGUACUCGAUACCAUCUACUGUAUCUUGCCUAUGCUGCUCUGUACCAUCACUCAUUCAUAUAUCCUUAUGUACAUAUUCUUUAUCCCCUUACACUGUGUAUAAGACAGUAGUUUUGGAAUUGUUAGUUAGAUUACUUGUUGGUUAUUACUGCAUUGUUGGAACUAGAAGCACAAGCAUUUCGCUACACUCGCAUUAACAUCUGCUAACCAUGUGUAUGUGACAAAUAAAAUUUGAUUUGAUUUGAUUUGAGUUGCAAAUGAGAACUUGUUCUUAACUAACCUGGUUAAAUAAAGGUGAAAUAAAAAAUAAAAAAUCUUACCUCAUUUGCACACACUGUAUAUAUACUUUUUCUAUUUUAUUAUUGACUGUAGGUUUGUUUAUCCCAUGUGUAACUGUGUUGUUUUUGUUGCACAACACAACAGCUUUAUCUUGGCCAGGUCACAGUUGUAAACGGGAACUUGUUCUCAACUAGCCUACCUGUUUAAAUAAAGGUGAAAUAAAGUAAAUAAAAACAUUUCUGGAUGGGGCUAAUGACAGUUUAGUCUAAAUUACACUACAGCGUCUUGGAAAUACAAUGACAGUGCUAAAGUUGGUAAAUCAUUAGUAGGAAACAACUUUGCCAUCAUUAUGAUGUUGUCAAAUUACCUUUAGAUAUGGCAAUGGUGCCAUUAGCCAGCAAAUUUCAUCAGAAAUAGCUAGCAAUGCUAAUGUUAGCUAGCUCAAAUUUGUGCCGUCCCCUCAAUCUUAGCUAGCUAGCUAAAGUUAUAGUGCAUGUAAUGUCAAUCUGGCGACAUCACAAUAAUGACAAGGUUUACCUACUAAUUAUUGGCCUCUUUCUGGAAUGUCACGUUUCCAAGCAAAUCUAAUGCACUUUUGUUUAAAUCUUCAUCAGCGCCCACUGACCAUGUAUUGAGUAGAACGUGUAACCCAUGAAUAGGUUACCAACCUGGAAAAACACCACCUCCACAGCCCUGCUAAUGAUCUCACAAACACACUGGAGCUAGCAUACACAGCAAUGCAGGGAGAUAAUAUAGUCUGCAUUACAUUAUUAGGACAAAACACCUGGCUACCACCUGAAUGCACACACUAUAGCCUCCAACAAAACCCCUACAUACAAGAGGAUGGCAACUAGUGUUCCACAUCAAGGUUAUAAGGCUGCUAAGAAGCUCACAGAUACAGCCAGUUGAAAAUAUACCCCUGCCUGGAUGCUAUUGACAGAUAUAUGACUGUAUGUAGACUCCACAUAAACCUAGCAGUAGCAUACAGACAUAUAUUUUCAACUGGCUGUUAUGUGUGAGCUUGUUAGCAGCCUUUCAGAGGUGUGGUCACACAAACUCUACUGUAACAUCGGCCAGGUCUAGGAGUGUGGCAGCAAAGCUGUCUUCAAGGCUAGGGUAGCUAAAUUGAAGAAUCUAAGAUAUAAAAGGUAUUUUGAUUUGUUUUUGGUUACUACAGGAUUCCAUGUGUUAUUUCAUAGUGUUGAUGUCUUCACUAUUAUUCUACAAUGUAGAAAAUUGUAAAA
ensembl:lncRNA